rnacentral:rRNA from 1 species
UGAGGAAUAUUGGGCAAUGCCCGCAAGGGUGACCCAGCAACGCCGCGUGGAGGAUGAAUGUCGUAAGAUUGUAAACUCCUGUUAGAGGGGAAGAAUAGUACCGGUUGGACCGGUAUAUGACUGUACCCUCAGAGAAAGCCCCGGCUAACUACGUGCCAGCAGCCGCGGUAAUACGUAGGGGGCAAGCGUUGUCCGGAUUUACUGGGUGUAAAGGGCGCGCAGGCGGGAUAAAAAGUCAGUGGUGAAAUCCUACAGCUUAACUGUAGAACUGCCUUUGAUACUUUUAUUCUUGAGUUCGGGAGAGAGAGACGGAAUUCCAGGUGUAGUGGUGAAAUACGUAGAUAUCUGGAAGAACACCUGUUGCGAAGGCGGUCUCUUGGUCCGACACUGACGCUGAGGCGCGAAAGCGUGGGGA